ACGAACGCUGGCGGCGUGCUUAACACAUGCAAGUCGAACGGUGAAGCGCCUUCCUUUUUGGUGGGUGUGGAUGAGUGGCGAACGGGUGAGUAACACGUGAGUAACCUACCCCCUUCUUCUGGAUAACCGCAUGAAAGUGUGGCUAAUACGGGAUAUUCUGGGUCUGUCGCAUGAUGGGUCUGGGAAAGAUAUUGUUUCGGUGGGGGAUGGGCUCGCGGCCUAUCAGCUUGUUGGUGGGGUGAUGGCCUACCAAGGCGGUGACGGGUAGCCGGCCUGAGAGGGUGGACGGUCACACUGGGACUGAGACACGGCCCAGACUCCUACGGGAGGCAGCAGUGGGGAAUAUUGCACAAUGGGCGCAAGCCUGAUGCAGCGACGCCGCGUGAGGGAUGGAGGCCUUCGGGUUGUGAACCUCUUUCGCCAGUGAAGCAGGCCUGCCUCGUUUGUGGGUGGGUUGACGGUAGCUGGAGAAGAAGCGCCGGCUAACUACGUG
rnacentral:rRNA from 1 species